UACGAAGGGUGCAAGCGUUACUCGGAAUUACUGGGCGUAAAGCGUGCGUAGGCGGUUUGUUAAGUCUGUCGUGAAAGCCCCGGGCUCAACCUGGGAAUGGCGAUGGAUACUGGCGAGCUAGAGUACGGUAGAGGAGAGUGGAAUUCCCGGUGUAGCAGUGAAAUGCGUAGAGAUCGGGAGGAACAUCAGUUGCGAAGGCGGCUCUCUGGACCAGUACUGACGCUGAGGAGCGAAAGCGUGGGGAGCGAACAGG
rnacentral:rRNA from 1 species